AGCGCCGCAGUGGCACACGCCAAAAUGCAAAUUUGGAAACGCACCCUUACAGGUGCCGGGGCUUCUCCCGUUUUUUAUUUAGACGGGAGAAGG
rnacentral:tRNA from 1 species